UCCGCUAGAUUUCUUAUCCUUAAUAUGUUCUUCAUAAGGUUUCCUAGGUUAUGUUCUCAUUAGAAAUUGUGCGUCAAUAUUACUGAUUACCACCGUACUUGUUUAUGUUCGUUGUGUAUGAGCUGACGCCAAAUCGUUUCCCUAUAUCUGUUAUUCGUUUUGAUUUUCUUCGGAAAACCCUCUGGGGUUUUCUUCAAUCAGCUCGAAUUUGCAGAUUAGGGAAAUCAAGCCAAUAUUCUGAUCCUUGUCUCUUUUAUGUUUUUUUGAUGAGUUUGCCUUUAGAUAGGUUCACUAGAUUCAAUUGUGAUUCGUUUUUAAUUUGUUGGGUCUUUUUUAUGAUUAAACUAUAAGAUUGGUAUUAAGGAGAAUGGAGGUGAUGACAAUUUCCCCAAAUGAUCGAAUCAGAUUAUACUAAGCGAUUUUUAUUUCCUUCUCAACAGAGGAAAUCAAGCCAAUGUUCUGAUCCUUCUCCUAAACCU